AGUGAACGCUGGCGGUAGGCCUAACACAUGCAAGUCGAACGGCAGCACAGUAAGAGCUUGCUCUUACGGGUGGCGAGUGGCGGACGGGUGAGGAAUACAUCGGAAUCUACUUUUUCGUGGGGGAUAACGUAGGGAAACUUACGCUAAUACCGCAUACGACCUACGGGUGAAAGCAGGGGAUCUUCGGACCUUGCGCGUUUGAAUGAGCCGAUGUCGGAUUAGCUAGUUGGCGGGGUAAAGGCCCACCAAGGCGACGAUCCGUAGCUGGUCUGAGAGGAUGAUCAGCCACACUGGAACUGAGACACGGUCCAGACUCCUACGGGAGGCAGCAGUGGGGAAUAUUGGACAAUGGGCGCAAGCCUGAUCCAGCCAUACCGCGUGGGUGAAGAAGGCCUUCGGGUUGUAAAGCCCUUUUGUUGGGAAAGAAAAGCAGCAGGUUAAUACCCCGCUGUUCUGACGGUACCCAAAGAAUAGGCACCGGCUAACUUCGUG
rnacentral:rRNA from 1 species